GUGGGGAAUUUUGGACAAUGGGCGCAAGCCUGAUCCAGCAAUGCCGCGUGCAGGAAGAAGGCCUUCGGGUUGUAAACUGCUUUUGUACGGAACGAAACGGUCCUGGUUAAUACCUGGGGCUAAUGACGGUACCGUAAGAAUAAGCACCGGCUAACUACGUGCCAGCAGCCGCGGUAAUACGUAGGGUGCGAGCGUUAAUCGGAAUUACUGGGCGUAAAGCGUGCGCAGGCGGUGCUGUAAGACAGGCGUGAAAUUCCCGGGCUCAACCUGGGAAUUGCGCUUGUGACUGCAGUGCUGGAGUACGGCAGAGGGGGAUGGAAUUCCGCGUGUAGCAGUGAAAUGCGUAGAUAUGCGGAGGAACACCGAUGGCGAAGGCAGUCCCCUGGGCCUGUACUGACGCUCAUGCACGAAAGCGUGGGGAGCAAACAGGAUUAGAAACCCUGGUAGUCC
rnacentral:rRNA from 1 species